ACGAAGGUGGCAAGCGUUGUUCGGAAUCACUGGGCUUAAAGAGCACGUAGGCGGGCCGUCUUGCGUCCUGUGAAAUCCCCCGGCCCAACCGGGGAAUGGCAGGGCGAACGGGCGGUCUUGAGGCAGGUAGAGGUGUGGGGAACUCUUGGUGGAGCGGUGGAAUGCGUAGAUAUCAAGAGGAACGCCGGAGGCGAAGGCGCCGCACUGGGCCUGUCCUGACGCUGAGGUGCGAAAGCCAGGGGAGCAAACGG
rnacentral:rRNA from 1 species